rnacentral:rRNA from 1 species
AUUGAACGCUGGCGGCAUGCUUUACACAUGCAAGUCGAACGGUAACAGGCCGCAAGGUGCUGACGAGUGGCGAACGGGUGAGUAAUGCAUCGGAACGUGCCCAGUCGUGGGGGAUAACGCAGCGAAAGCUGCGCUAAUACCGCAUACGAUCUAUGGAUGAAAGCGGGGGACCGUAAGGCCUCGCGCGAUUGGAGCGGCCGAUGUCAGAUUAGGUAGUUGGUGGGGUAAAGGCUCACCAAGCCAACGAUCUGUAGCUGGUCUGAGAGGACGACCAGCCACACUGGGACUGAGACACGGCCCAGACUCCUACGGGAGGCAGCAGUGGGGAAUUUUGGACAAUGGGCGCAAGCCUGAUCCAGCAAUGCCGCGUGCAGGAAGAAGGCCUUCGGGUUGUAAACUGCUUUUGUACGGAACGAAACGGCUCUGGUUAAUACCUGGGGCUAAUGACGGUACCGUAAGAAUAAGCACCGGCUAACUACGUGCCAGCCGCCGCGGUAA